rnacentral:rRNA from 1 species
GAUGAACGCUAGCGGCAGGCUUAAUACAUGCAAGUCGAGGGGCAGCAUGAAGUAGCAAUCCUUUGAUGGCGACCGGCACACGGGUGCGGAACACGUACACAACCUUCCUUUAAGUGGGGAAUAGCCCAGAGAAAUUUGGAUUAAUACCCCGUAACACAACGAAGUGGCAUCACUUUGUUGUUAUAGUUUCGGCGCUUAAUGAUGGGUGUGCGUAUGAUUAGAUAGUUGGCGAGGUAACGGCUCACCAAGUCUACGAUCAUUAGCUGAUGUGAGAGCAUGAUCAGCCACACGGGCACUGAGACACGGGCCCGACUCCUACGGGAGGCAGCAGUAAGGAAUAUUGGUCAAUGGACGCAAGUCUGAACCAGCCAUGCCGCGUGAAGGAUUAAGGUCCUCUGGAUUGUAAACUUCUUUUAUAUGGGACGAAAAAAGGUCUUUCUAGACCCCUUGACGGUACCAUAUGAAUAAGCACCGGCUAACUCCGUG